GGAAUAACCCACUUGGGUUUUGCUUGGCCGCUAGUGCUAAGCUAUACCAUUGGAGCUAGCUACCUUUUCGAGUUGUGAGGUAUUUUGACCCAAAAGAAAGAACCAAAAACAGGAGGGUAGGGGAUGUCGGGAAGAAAAAUCUCAGUCAUCAUGAUGAAUGCAAUCUUAUAAUCUUAAUUUUAUGGAAGAAAUGUGAGAACUAUUAAUUAAUGGUUGAAAAGCUUAUAGGAACACGGUGAUGAUACAUGUCCCUAAUUAGGAAAUAAAAAUACUAAAAUAUUCUUAUCAUAGUUGAUAAACAUUAUAAAUGGGUCCGAUAAUUACACUAGGAUUUGAUUGGCGAACCAUAUGAAAUUACUUCUCCAUGACAUUAGAAUAUGGUCUUUCAUCCUUAUCAUACCGAUGAAACUUAUUGAUGUGCUUGUUUUGGUUCGAUUUAUAAGCUUCUUUGACAUAUUUUCCAGGGUUGAUGUUUAAGGAGGCCAAAUAAUAAUGAAGAAAGAGGAGUGUUUGCUAUUGUUGAGGUCCAACUUGUUCACCAGCUGGAUUAUGAUUUUGACUAUAGACAUAAUUACAUCCACUCACAAAUUGGCAGCACUGGAACUACUGGUCAACUUGAUAGUAGUUAAUAGCAAGGGAAAGACCAAGACUUGGAGCAAAAAUGGAGGACCAGAGACCAAGACUCGGAGCAAAAACGGGGGGACAAGUGACACAGACUUUUGAAGCCAACUUUUAGAGCAGGAAUUUGGCUUUUAUAUUGGAGGAAUUGAUUGAAGCCUGAAUUAUUAGAUAAUAGAUUUUAUGGUUCAUGUAUGUAUGUAUGACUAAUCAAAUUCCAUCGUCUACGACACGUUUCUAAUAAUGACAAGGUCCAUAUAACUGCCUGACGUGGUCUUCA